CCCCCCGCCUCGUUCUCGUCAAGCCAACUCGCAUAAUAUGAACAGUAUCAGAAGAAGCUCAAAGGUUCUCCUGAAAGAAGCCGCGGGAAAGUGAAUGUCGGGCAUCGAAGAGUGGACGAAGAACAAUAAUGGAUUUCGGAACGUUCCAUUCACAAGACAUGGAUGAUGAAUAUGAGAAACUUAUUAGAAGGAUGAAUCCACCCAGGUUUGCUAAAUUUUG